rnacentral:antisense_RNA from 1 species
AGAGAGAGAGAGAAAGAGAGAGAGAAGACAGUGCUACUGAAGGCCUGUGGUGAGGCAAGCAGAGGCUCAGGAAGGGAGCAGAGGAUGGCGGUCUGAGGUUCCACCAGCCCCACCCUAGGCAGACCCACUUAGCUCACCUCCAAAGGACCCAAGAAUGGAUGGCUUGGCCUGGGCUCCCCAAGAGCACUUCCUGGCUCACGGUCGGCUUGCCCAGUGAAUGUGGCUGUGACGGCUGGAGCUUCCGACUUCCGCUCCUCCUCACCACAACACACACCCCUCCUGCUCCCCGCCGCCUCCCCAGGGUUCCCUAGCUGCUCAACACCUCACACUUCCUGCCCACAAGAUAAGAGCCUCUCCUCCUAGGCCCAGCGCCUCCAGCUCCCUUCCCCAUGCCCCUGCUCCUUGGAGGCCCCCACCCUGCACACCAGCCUAGAAAGAACCUGCCAUGGUGGAACUGGCCUCUCCCUGCCAUGCAGGGGCCUGGGAUUGAAAGGGGAAGGGGCCGAGGCCUGGUUGGUAAGCAGGCCCCACCUCCUUCCUCCCUGCGGUUCUGCCCCAGGUUCUCAGUCUUGCUCUGGCUCUCGGUCCC